rnacentral:rRNA from 1 species
GUGGGGAAUCUUGGACAAUGGGCGCAAGCCUGAUCCAGCCAUGCCGCGUGAGUGAAGAAGGCCUUAGGGUUGUAAAACUCUUUCGCCGGAGAAGAUAAUGACGGUAUCCGGAGAAGAAGCCCCGGCUAACUUCGUGCCAGCAGCCGCGGUAAUACGAAGGGGGCUAGCGUUGUUCGGAAUUACUGGGCGUAAAGCGCACGUAGGCGGGUUUGUAAGUAGGGGGUGAAAUCCCAGGGCUCAACCCUGGAACUGCCUUCUAGACUGCAAGCCUGGAGGUCAGGAGAGGCGAGUGGAAUACCGAGUGUAGAGGUGAAAUUCGUAGAUAUUCGGUGGAACACCAGUGGCGAAGGCGACUCGCUGGACUGAUACUGACGCUGAGGUGCGAAAGCGUGGGGAGCAAACAGGAUUAGAUACCCGAGUAGUCC